UUGUAUUCUCCAGCACAUGGACUAAGAGUAUAAAACAGAAAACAGUGGCCAGAUGCUUGGCCUCUUCUCCUUUGCCCACCUAGGCUGCAAGCAACAAGGACACUGAGAAGACUGAUGAUUUCAACAGAGGAGACUGGCCUGGGUUUAAGAGACAAACCUGUAGAUUAAGGACUGUAAGAUCCAAUGGGGCUUGGUAAUCUCUGACCAACCCCUACUGCAUUGAUGGCUGCUCAUGAAAAACCACUACCAUGAUUGGCAUCCUUGUUACCAUUCACAACACCAGCCAAGCACGGAUCAAAAGAGCAAGGAUGCUGAAGUAUCUUCUCACCAUAGAGCUAGUUCAAGAAUGAGUGCCAUGGAAACCCCUGGAUCGCCUCCAUCUCCCAAACUGAGGGCUUUCCUGCAAACUUCACACUCAGGAAUCCAUGACGUCUCCCAGCUCCGGGCCAAGGCAGCUCUGUGGCUUUUCUCAGUCUGCAGCACAAGCACUUAAUUGUUGAGCCGAAAGUUACCGAGCGCGAGAGAAAUAUGGAUGAUGUUACACAUCCCAGUGUGUGUGUUUUUAACCCAAACUUGCAGGCACUGCAAAAGCUUUCAAAGCAACGGGGCUUCUGUGCAGCUUUCUCUCGUCCCAGCAGAGAAGCUCAAGCUGCUGUUUUUUUACCUUUGCAUAAAAACAUUCAGAAAACUCAAAUCCCCGUCGCUGAUUUAAAGUCUUUGAAAUUUGCCAGCGCCCUAAUAAUAUCCAUCUUGUUAUUGGCACCGGCUUUAGCUCCUCAUUGGCACUGACUCGAUCCUUCAGUCAAUAAA